rnacentral:rRNA from 1 species
GAUGAACGCUGGCGGCGUGCUUAACACAUGCAAGUCGAACGAAGAUGCCGGAGUGCUUGCACUUUGGCAGACUGAGUGGCGGACGGGUGAGUAACGCGUGGGUAACCUGCCUUAUACAGGGGGAUAACAGUUGGAAACGACUGCUAAUACCGCAUAAGCGCACGGUAUCCGCACGAUACAGUGUGAAAAACUCCGGUGGUAUAAGAUGGACCCGCGUCUGAUUAGCUUGUUGGUGAGGUAACGGCCCACCAAGGCGACGAUCAGUAGCCGGCCUGAGAGGGUGAACGGCCACAUUGGGACUGAGACACGGCCCAAACUCCUACGGGAGGCAGCAGUCGGGGAAUAUUGCACAAUGGGGGAAACCCUGAUGCAGCGACGCCGCGUGAGUGAAGAAGUAUUUCGGUAUGUAAAGCUCCUAUCAGCAGGGAAGAAAAUGACGGUACCUGACUAAGAAGCCCCGGCUAACUACGUG